rnacentral:rRNA from 1 species
UACAGAGGUCCCAAGCGUUGUUCGGAUUCACUGGGCGUAAAGGGUGCGUAGGUGGCCUGGAAAGUUUGAUGUGAAAGCUCGGAGCUUAACUCCGAAAUGGCAUUGAAUACUACUGGGCUUGAGGGUCGGAGGGGAGACUGGAAUUCUCGGUGUAGCAGUGAAAUGCGUAGAUAUCGGGGGGAACACCAGUGGCGAAGGCGGCUUCCUGGGGUGUACCUGACGCUGAAGCGCGAAAGCUAGGGGAGCGAACGGG